AGGGCCGCGGUACUUUGACCGUGCGAAGGUAGCACAAUCAUUUGUCUCUUAAUUGGGGGCUAGAAUGAACGGUUGGAUGAGGGAUUAAGUGUCUCCUUACUAUAAAUAAAAUUUUACUUUUAAGUGAAAAGGCUUAAAUCUUAUUAAGUGAAGAUAAGACCCUAUAAAACUUAUAUAAAAUUAGAUUGUAAUUUAUUUAAUAAAGUAUAAAAUAAAACGGUUUAGAUUGUAUUUUGUUGGGGCGACAAUAAUAGAAUAGGUAUCUGUUGUUUAUAAUAAGUUAAUGAUAAUUAAUAAGUGAACCUUUCCUAAGGGUUAAAAGAUUAAGUUACUUUAGGGAUAACAGCGUGAUUUUCUUUGAGAGAUCCAAUCGACAAGAGUAGUUGCGACCUCGAUGUUGAAUUAAAAUUUUCUAUAAAGUGCAGAAGCUUUAAUAGUAAGUCUGUUCGACUUUUAAAAUUUU
rnacentral:rRNA from 1 species